rnacentral:rRNA from 1 species
GUGUCAGCCGCCGCGGUAAUACGAAGGGGGCUAGCGUUGCUCGGAAUCGCUGGGCGUAAAGGGUGCGUGGGCGGGUCUUUAAGUCAGGGGUGAAAUCCUGGAGCUCAACUCCAGAACUGCCCUUGAUACUGAGGAUCUUGAGUUCGGGAGAGGUGAGUGGAACUGCGAGUGUAGAGGUGAAAUUCGUAGAUAUUCGCAAGAACACCAGUGGCGAAGGCGGCCCACUGGCCCGAUACUGACGCUGAGGCACGAAAGCGUGGGGAGCAAACAGGAUUAGAAACCCCUGUAGUCC